GACGAACGCUGGCGGCGUGCUUAACACAUGCAAGUCGAACGGUAAGGCCCUUUCGGGGGUACACGAGUGGCGGACGGGUGAGUAACACGUGGGUGAUCUGCCCUGCACUUUGGGAUAAGCCUGGGAAACUGGGUCUAAUACCGGAUAGGACUACGCGAUGCAUGUCGUGUGGUGGAAAGCUUUUGCGGUGUGGGAUGGGCCCGCGGCCUAUCAGCUUGUUGGUGGGGUGAUGGCCUACCAAGGCGACGACGGGUAGCCGGCCUGAGAGGGUGUCCGGCCACACUGGGACGGAGAUACGGCCCAGACUCCUACGGGAGGCAGCAGUGGGGAAUAUUGCACAAUGGGCGCAAGCCUGAUGCAGCGACGCCGCGUGGGGGAUGACGGCCUUCGGGUUGUAAACCCCUUUCAGCACAGACGAGGCGUAAGUGACGGUAUGUGCAGAAGAAGCACCGGCCAACUACGUG
rnacentral:rRNA from 1 species